rnacentral:misc_RNA from 1 species
UACGAAGGGGGCUAGCGUUGCUCGGAAUUACUGGGCGUAAAGGGAGCGUAGGCGGAUCGUUUAGUCAGGGGUGAAAUCCCGGGGCUCAACCUCGGAACUGCCUUUGAUACUGGCGAUCUUGAGUAUGGGAGAGGUGUGUGGAACUCCGAGUGUAGAGGUGAAAUUCGUAGAUAUUCGGAAGAACACCAGUGGCGAAGGCGACACACUGGCCCAUCACUGACGCUGAGGCUCGAAAGCGUGGGGAGCAAACAGG